rnacentral:lncRNA from 1 species
AUGUCUGCCCCCGCCCCCAGGGCCCCAGCAAGCAUUCAAUCUGAGGCAGCAGGCAGUUUCAGUCAUACCACCUGCUCUGCUUCCUUCAUCAUGCCCUCCUGCAUGAAAUCACCUCACUCAGGUACUUCCUGGUGUGUUUUUUGCCUCUCCCCUGAGAGCAUGAUCCCCAUGAGGGAAGGAGAAUUUAGAGCUGAAAUGACCAGGGAAAUAACGGGUCCAGAGCAGGGGCCUGAAAAUGUACUGGGUGGAAACAGUACCUUGGACAGCACCCUGGACCGCACUCCACACAGUUCCUGUCCUUCAGGCAAGCAGGGCAUCCAUUUGCCCAGCACAGAGUCCGUGACUCAAAGCACAGGGUCUCCUCCUGAGGACUGGGGGGUAGAUGGUCCUUAAACAUCUUUUCCUGCUCCCACUUGGGUGCUGAGCACACGGGCAUCGACCAAACUCUCUCUUCUCCCAACUGCAGUUAAAGGUGACGGUGAGCCUGACAGUUUACUCCACACUUGCUCAGUUGGAUAAGAUGAAUAAGUGAUCAGCAGUGUCCCAGUUACGCUGCCUUCUGUGGUUAUUAUAGAUUCGACACCCAGGCAUCCCACAGAGGCACGGCUCCUUCAUCAAUGCGGGCUUCUUUUAGCCCACGCUAUAUUAAGCUGAGUAAAAAUUAAACACUGACUGUUCAAUGAAACAUUAUAUUCCCAAUGAAACUUGGCUAGUUAAUUACAGGGACUAACACUGCUUUUAAGAACAGGAGGGUUUGGAUUUCACUGUGCUAAUAACUGCCUGGGGGUGUCACGUGAAGUUUCAGAGCUACUCCAGGUAAGGAAUUACGGAAGAAACGGCAUGCUAUCCAUUUCCAUUUCACUGGGGGAGAAACAGCACUUUUAUAGAUGAACAUAUCUAACGAAUAUGUCAACAAUGAGGGAAACAAACUAGAACUGGCACCAAAUGCUCAUACCAAUCUACUCAUGUUUCUCAUUAGGAGAAUGCUCUUGGUAGAAUUCAUUUACCAGAAGGGACAGCUAGGAAUCAGAUGAAAGCAUUUUUGCCCCUAACAUUAUCAGAGCAUAAGGACUCUUACCCUAGAUCCUUGCUACAAUUCUACUCAUCACACCACAGAAUGGAGUAUCAUAAAGGGUCCUAGACACCAGUCCUAUAGACAGCUGGUGACAGCAUGAAGUUACUUUGUUUCAAAGGAGAUAUACCCAGCACCUCAGAACCCGGUGAUUCAUUGUUACAUAAUUCUGCUGAGUUUUGUCCCUUUAAAGGGUGAUU